rnacentral:rRNA from 1 species
GACGAACGCUGGCGGCGUGCUUAACACGUGCAAGUCGAACGAUGAAGCUAGAGCUUGCUCUGGUGGAUUAGUGGCGAACGGGUGAGUAACACGUGAGUAACCUGCCCCGAACUCUGGGAUAACUGCUGGAAACGGUAGCUAAUACCGGAUAUGACCAAUGAAGGCAUCUUCUGUUGGUGGAAAGAAUUUCGGUUCGGGAUGGACUCGCGGCCUAUCAGCUUGUUGGUGAGGUAACGGCUCACCAAGGCGACGACGGGUAGCCGGCCUGAGAGGGUCGUCGGCCACAAUGGGACUGAGACACGGCCCAGACUCCUACGGGAGGCAGCAGUGGGGAAUAUUGCACAAUGGGCGCAAGCCUGAUGCAGCAACGCCGCGUGAGGGAUGACGGCCUUCGGGUUGUAAACCUCUUUUAGCAGGGAAGAAGCGAAAGUGACGGUACCUGCAGAAAAAGCACCGGCUAACUACGUGCCAGCAGCCGCCGUAA